CAAAGAGUAGUUUAAAGUUAAAAUUCUAGCUUUGGGGGCUAGAGAUGAGAUUCUCUUCUUUGA
rnacentral:tRNA from 1 species